rnacentral:misc_RNA from 1 species
GGAUGAAGAACGCAGCGAAAUGCGAUAAGUAAUGUGAAUUGCAGAAUUCAGUGAAUCAUCGAAUCUUUGAACGCACCUUGCGCCCUUUGGCUAUUCCGAAGGGCAUGCCUGUUUGAGUAUCAUGAACACCUCAACUCUCAUGGUUUGCCAUGAUGAGCUUGGACUUUGGGGGUCUUGCCGGCCUAUGGGUCGGCUCCUCUCAAAUUAAUCAGCUUGCCAGUGUUUGGUGGCAUCACAGGUGUGAUAACUAUCUACGCUUGUGGUUUUCCAUCAGGUAACCUUCAGUGAUGGAGGUUCGCUGGGGCUCAUAAAUGUCUCUCCUCAGUGAGGACAGCUUUUUUGAACGUUUGAUCUCAAAUCAGGUAGGACUACCCGCUGAACUUAAGCAUAUCAAUAAGCGGAGGA